rnacentral:rRNA from 1 species
GAUGAACGCUGGCGGCGUGCCUAAUACAUGCAAGUCGAGCGAACGGACGAGAAGCUUGCUUUUCUGAUGUUAGCGGCGGAGGGUGAGUAACACGUGGAUAACCUACCUAUAAGACUGGGAUAACUUCGGGAAACCGGAGCUAAUACCGGAUAAUAUUUUGAACCGCAUGGUUCAAAAGUGAAAGACGGUCUUGCUGUCACUUAUAGAUGGAUCCGCGCUGCAUUAGCUAGUUGGUAAGGUAACGGCUUACCAAGGCAACGAUGCAUAGCCGACCUGAGAGGGUGAUCGGCCACACUGGAACUGAGACACGGUCCAGACUCCUACGGGAGGCAGCAGUAGGGAAUCUUCCGCAAAGGGCGAAAGCCUGACGGAGCAACGCCGCGUGAGUGAUGAAGGUCUUCGGAUCGUAAAACUCUGUUAUUAGGGAAGAACAUAUGUGUAAGUAACUGUGCACAUCUUGACGGUACCUAAUCAGAAAGCCACGGCUAACUACGUG